rnacentral:rRNA from 1 species
CUAUGGUAUGCAAAAAUCCCUCUGAAAAUUGAAGUUUUCCUUUGGCUUGUCUUCAAGAAUAGUGUAUUAACCAGAGAUAAUUUAGCAAAGAGGAAUUGGAAAGGUAAAGAUGUUAGCUGCAGUUUUUGUGAUCAUAAUGAAACUAUAGACCACCUUUUUUGUACCUGUGUGGUUGCCAAGUUCGUUUGGGGAGUGGUUGGAAGUGUAACUGGGUUGGCUAAUAUUCCUUGCAAGAUUGAAGAGUUUAAUGGAUGGAUAGAGAGUUUUCCUAAUAAAAAUCAGAGACAGGUGUUAGCAGUGGGCGUUGCGGCGUUGUUUUGA